AGUGGGAAGAGGGAAAAGAAAAAUACUUCGCAGCUGUUAACAAUGAAACACACCUGGGCAAACGAAAUCUCCGUUUGUGACAUCAUAAAUCCGGCAGAGGGAAAACGUAAUCUGGGAAUAUCUCUCAGAUUCAUGCUAGCAGAGAGACACAAACUAACUUAGAGUAGCAUUUUUAUCAGUGCAAAGCAUAAAUUUCUAGAUUUCUGUACGACUUUGCGGUUGAAAAUUUUAUUUUCUUGCUUAAUUCAUCGAGAGAUGGCUAUCAACUGGAUAGAGUACAUUUUAAAAUAAUUUUUACUUUAUGAACUAGUACAAGCUGCUGAUCAAUUUCUUGCUCUUUCCUUUAUGGGUGAAAGGAGAUUACUGAUUGAAGAUUGUUCGCUCGAAUGCAUUACAUGGAACUGAUAAAUCUGAUUUAGAACCCAGUUUCCCGGACAAAACUUUAAAAAAUAGUACUACUUGAUUUUUAUUCUGUGGCAACGAAGAUUAAAUGGGGCAGUUUUGAUAGCGAUUACGAUAAUAUUUUUUAUAUUGUCAUCAUAGCUGUGAAGAUAAU